CCUACGGGAGGCAGCAGUGGGGAAUAUUGCACAAUGGGCGAAAGCCUGAUGCAGCGACGCCGCGUGAGGGAUGACGGCCUUCGGGUUGUAAACCUCUUUCAGCAGGGAAGAAGCGAAAGUGACGGUACCUGCAGAAGAAGCGCCGGCUAACUACGUGCCAGCAGCCGCGGUAAUACGUAGGGCGCAAGCGUUGUCCGGAAUUAUUGGGCGUAAAGAGCUCGUAGGCGGCUUGUCACGUCGGGUGUGAAAGCCCGGGGCUUAACCCCGGGUCUGCAUUCGAUACGGGCUAGCUAGAGUGUGGUAGGGGAGAUCGGAAUUCCUGGUGUAGCGGUGAAAUGCGCAGAUAUCAGGAGGAACACCGGUGGCGAAGGCGGAUCUCUGGGCCAUUACUGACGCUGAGGAGCGAAAGCGUGGGGAGCGAACAGGAUUAGAUACCCUGGUAGUCCACGCCGUAAACGGUGGGAACUAGGUGUUGGCGACAUUCCACGUCGUCGGUGCCGCAGCUACGCAUUACGUUACCCGUCCGUCGGGAGGUACGGCCGCGACGGACGUAAACGUACGAAACGAAGUUAGACGGCGUGAGACGNGCCGAACGGACGACGACGAGGGAGUAGG
rnacentral:rRNA from 1 species